CUUCUUGUCAAGGAGGGAAGAAGAACUCUUUGUUCUUGUUUGGUUUCUGAACAAGUUGUUGACCUUUUUAAAUACAAUUUAGAAAUGUGUGAUUUCAUAGCGGGCAGAGAAAAUAAUACUAAUAACGGCCACUUGUAGAUGGAUUUCCCUGCACGUUAUGCGAUAGCAAGUGGCAAUAGCCUGAUGUCUGGCCAGUGCUAGUGCAACAACUGGUCCAGAGCUCAUGAAGGCAGUCAGAUGGGGAAAAAACAGCUUCCCAUAAUGCUCAAUGUAAAAGUCACUGCAUUGCUCGGGACUCAGGAGGGACAGGCCUAAAUAAAUUUUUGCGGUAAUCAACAUUGUGCCACAAAUGCUGUAUACUCCUAAUUUGUCACACAGGAUUGAACAGCAAAAGAGCUUAAAGGAUUGUGAACCCACAUCGAAGAAUUAUGUCCUCGACUUCAUCAGCUUUAUGGAUGGCAUCAGGUUUGAUUAAAGCCAAAGUUCUCUCGACGAAGAUACGAGGAGCAGACAUCUGCUUCUCAGGAU